CCUGAGACAAGGCUGAGUAUAGCCCACAAAGAACUCCGCCAUGGCACAACCCAAGGGGGGGCGCCAUCCCAGACAGGAUGACCACAUCAGUGAAUCAACCCACUCAGGUGACGCACCCCUUCCAGGGACGGCAAGAGAGAGCCCCAGGUUACCUCGGUGGAAGCUCCAGUUGGAGCAGUUGGAUGGUCGACCACUGAAAGCACUGACGCCCUACACUUCAGUAAAGCCCAAUGGACAAAGACCAUCGACUGUCCAAGCCCCCCAGGAGGUAUCCCAUCUACCAGAACCAGUGAGUUUGGAUCAGUCUGAUUCUCUGUGCUCUGAGUUGGAGGGGGACCAGCUUGAGGACCUAGGAGUUCUGUCCAACGCCCAGACCCACCUGAUGUCCUCCAUGAUCUGAUGUCCAGGACCUAGGGGUUCUGUCCAACGCCCAGACCCACCUGAUGUCCUCCGUUACAUGUUCUCCAGGACCUAGGGGUUCUACCCAACACCCACCUGAUGUCCUCCGUUACCUGUUCUCCAGGACCUAGGGGUUCUACCCAACACCCAGACCCAACUAGUUUAAAACAGAGAUUGUCGCAGAAAUCAGCCUUGUUUUCAUAGCAGGAAUUAAGAGAACGUAAUUUAGGUUGUUAAGAUCUCCAAAAUUCUAAUUGUUAGGUCAUCACACCGUUGAUAUAGCAACAGAUGCUAAUAGUUUAUCGAAUCCCAUUGUGAUGCGGGGGGCACUGUUUGUCUGGGGUUAUUUGGUAUGACAGACCCUUGAACCCAGCCUUCUUUCCCUCUUGUCAAGUCUUCUGUAUAAAAGGACAGUUUCUCCCUGGCAGUCUGAUCCUGCGGUAUCCUGCGGUAUCCUGCGGUAUCCUGCGGUAUCAGACUCUUUGAUGUGGAGCUUCUUCUCGUCCAGAAGCGUGUUCCCCUCGGCCAUUUUCCAGACGAUGUCCCUGUAAUGGCGCAUUGUGAAGAGCAGGAAGACAUUGCGAGGGACAUGUCGUCUUCAGUAAGGCUUGGAUAUUCUGUCUUUCUGUCCUGUUCUUCCCAUUCAACUUGACAAAAAAAAAAAAACGAACUCUAAACUUACCAUUUUGUAGCUAAAACCAGUUCUAGUUAGUUUCUUGCUGCGUUGAGUGUCUCACAGUGACGCCAUCUUGGGCCCCCCUAGUAUCAGUUCAUCAGAAAACGUCUCGUAUGUUCUUUUAUGUCCGUGCUUCUACACCUGCAUUGCUUGUUGUUUGGGGUUUUAGGCUGGGUUUCUGUACAGCACUUUGAGACUUAGGCUGAUGUAAGAAGGGCUUUAUAAAUACAUUUGAUUUGAUUUGAUAUUACAUUUCUGAUCACAAUAACAACCAAAAACAACCAUCACCACACGUAUAUUUUCUCUGAAGAAACAUAACAUUCACAAACACUAUUGUGUUAUUGACCAUACGUUUGUUUAUGUGUAAAACUCUGUUUUUGUUUUUUUGUCGCACUGCUUUGCUUUAUCUUGGCCAGGUCGCAGUUGUAAAUGAGAACUUGUUCUCAACUAGCCUACCUGGUUAAAUAAAUUGUGAAAUAUAUAAUUUAAAAAAAAUCUACACAUGAAUUGAGUUUCAAAAGUUAAAGUACCUAAAAUAAACACAAAUAAAGUCAGGGGUUACGAAUGUAUGAACCUAUGGUAGAGUUGAAAACCUACUUGUAUGAACCUAUGGUAGAGUUGAAAACCUACUGUGUUUUUUUGUUAUUGACUAAUUCUAGAGAUUUUAUUCAAUAUUGGAUUGUAAGUAAAACUAUAUUGCAUUUGGGGACAGAUUUGAGGUAUUUGUUUUAGUGUAUAGAGAAUAUGAAGAAAGUAAAGACUAAUUCAUUCGUUUUCAUUUGAAUAAUAACAUACUACAUCUUUCAUUGUAAAUACAUCGGUCUUAGUAACGAAAUUAAAAAUGGGAUUUCUUAAGUCCAAAAUAACC
ensembl:lncRNA